UCCGAUUCAUUUACUUGAUGCGUUUUCGGGCGUCCGAUCGAGCCCUCGGAUGAUCUGGGCCGCCGGAUCAUAACCGAGCCCCUGUAGCAAUGAACAGUUUCACUUCGCGGUAAAUAUCUGCUGCCACCGCCGGUUAAUACAGCACCCCGCCGAGGGCAAUUUUGGGAUUUCACCUAGGCCGGUGGAACGUGCCCUCUCCCGAUUCGCCGCCCUCUCCCCAAUCGAAGAGACGCGUAGGGUUUGACCUCUCCUCGCUUCUUUCCCGCAUGUCUCUCUCUCGCAGUCGUCGUCGCCGCCAGCCAUCCUCCCCAUCGCCCCCUUUCCCCGCCCGUCCCGCUCGCCGUGGCCUUCGCCGAUGACCGCGGCCCUGCGCAGCACAGUGCCGAGCUCAUGAGAAUGAGAGGAGAGGAGCCGCCACCCAACCCAACCCAUCCAACCAAGGAGCCCGUCCCAUCCCACUCCCCACGACGUCUCCCCUCCCAUCUCUCUCGCACCCACCUCGCCGCCGGCCAUGGCCGCCCUCAUCCUCUCCUCCCCUCCCCUCCCCUCCUCUCCUCCUCCCCCGUCAUCAGAAGAGAAGACAAGACGAGAUGGAGGGAGAUCCACCGCGACUCAGCUGGUCAGGCGGCGCGCCCAGAUCCGGCCUUGCUCUGGCCAUCGCCGAUGAGCUGCGCCCAGUUCAGCCAUGGCGCGACCGAGCAGGCGAGGAGGGAGACUAGCUAGGAGUCCCCCCUCUCUCUCUCGGGGGGCGCCGCCCUUCAUCUGCUCCCGCGAUGGCGCCGGAUCCACAUCCACAGCCACGGCGCCGGCACCCAUGGAGUGACCGUGUGCUUCUUCUCCAUGGACAUGGAGCUCCCACAACACACCAUGGAAGGCCUGGAGCUCCUUCUCACAGCAGGUGCACCGCGUACAGGAGGGAAGACCAACGCUCCUCCGGGUCUGCUUCUUCCCGGGUCGCCGUUGCUCCACGGAAGGUAUCACACCCCCUCUCUCAUGCUCUGGUUGUCCCUGAUUCAUGCGCGCAGGUGCACCGCGUACAGGAGGGAAGACCAACGCUCCUCCGGGUCUGCUUCUUCCCGGGUCGCCGUUGCUCCACGGAAGGCGGAAAGUCAUAGAAGAUGGUUCAUUAGCUUCAAACAGAUCAGUGGUUACUGAAUCAGUCUCAAAAUCUUGUUCCUCCGCAGAAGUGAAAGAUGAAGAUGCUGCAAUUGCAGUUGUGAUUGAUGCAGCUGAACUUAAAUGGGGAGAGCAGUCAUUUAGGAGAGGACAAGCUCCUGGAAGGUUUACAUCAGGACGCCAUAAUGGCCAUGGAUCAUCAGAAAGGGAGGCACCUCCACCCGGCUAUGUGUGCCGCAGCUGCGGAGUUCCAGGCCAUUUCAUUCAACAUUGCCCACAGGAAAACCAGAUGCCUCCACCUAGCUAUACCUGCUACAGAUGCCGGGUUCCAGGGCAUUUUAUUCAGCAUUGCCCAACCAUUGGCGGUUCCAAGGCAGUUUAUAUUUACUGUGAUACUCUGAACAUGAGGACCAUGUGGACUAAACUUGCAUGUGGGUGCACCAAGGAGAAGGUCCCACUUAUCAAGGGAUAACAACUAAUUGGUCAGACUUUGUGAAGACAGGGGUUGGAUAAUUUGGAGAAUGUCUUUGCAUUCAAGGCUAAAAGGGGCAAAGUGUCGCUCGUUGUCUACCUGUUUUGACAAGGAAGCUGAAGGUGUUACCAUUCAUGGACAUGGAACAGAAGCUGCCCGGAUAUUGUGACAACAAAUGGAGGUUAAAUCGGGAAGCGAAAGCCAGGUUGGAUACGACCGCAUCGGCAGGGGUGCAGGUUGCGGCAAGCCGCAGCUUCCAUCUAGUCAUAUAGAUUGUCCAGAGUGCGAAGCAGAUCAGAAUUAAUCGUUAGGGUACCUCAACAUCGUUCAAGGCAAGUUUGCACUUUUGAUUUUGCUCAUUGUAUAUUAUGCUAUGCAUGUGUGAUUUUAAGCUAUGGUAAACGUUUGGCCUGAUAUGUGUAUCUCAUGUUGUCAUGUUUGGUAUUGAUUGUGUUAUGUGAUGGUGUGAUCAACUUGCUAUGGUAGACGUGGGCAUGUGUCGAGUGAUCCAUGAUAGUGGUGAGUGUUUAUAGAUGUAGGCUUGGGAUUAUUAAAUAGGUGAAUGCGUCAUUGGCAGAGCGCUCUAUUGUCCCUAGAGAAUGCAUCAUUGACAGAGCACACUUGAGGCGAGGUAUAGUUUUUGGAACUUAAAUCUGGUGAAUGCGUCCUUGGUAGAAUCCCUCUCUCCCGUGCCGUUUCGCCUCGUUCAGAUCUCAAGGGAGUUCACCGCCCUUUGAAGCUUCUGUCGGUCGAUUGCAUCGCUUUUGGAGGUUCCCAGCUUCUCCUCCUGCCCCCUCUCUCCCGUGUUGUUUCGCCUCGUUCAGAUAUCGUCGGAGUUCGCCGCCGUCUGAAGCAUCCAUCGGUUGAUUGCAUCGCCUCUGGAGGGAAACACUACACUGAGUCCAUCGAGCUCGUUCGGAGCUCAACUCCGCUGCCGCCGCUCCAGCCGGUUGCCACCGUUGGGGGAGCAAGCCCCAUUCACCCCUGCGGACGUGUUUGAGUUCACCGACGCCUACGACACCUUGUCCUGCCUUCCUAGAGUCUCGGAGGUCCCUGUAACUGCCGCCAGCUUCAAAUCCAAGCCGCCCUAUGGUCGUCGUCUUCCUCAAGUCCGGAGGCCAGCCCCAGUUUCUCCGGUGAGUCCCUGUCGUCCGUCCGAUCUCCAUCCAACUGAUGUUAUUAGAUCGCCCAUGUUUAUUUAUUUAUUUACCAAAACAUUUUCCGUUAAGUUGCGGCCAUUCGCCGUUUAGCCACAACAGCAAACCACUCCAGCCUAUUACAGUUGCGCCAUGUGACAACGUCACAACAACUGUGGUAGUUCUUCCAGGAACACUGUCAUGGCACAAUUUGUUUCGUAGAUUUCAUAUCAAAUUUUCGUUUAGGUAUAUCUUGAGAUCCAUAACUCUAAAUUCAUCGAUUCUUUUUCCUCAGUACUCGUAGUGACCAGGAGAAUACAGUGGAAUCAAAAUUUCACAUUUUUUGAGCUGUUUAAAUUUGAAUUUGCUCAAAUUUGAAUUUAACCUUCCGGAGGCCAUAUCUUUCAAAUCGUUGAUCCAAAUUAGUUGAUUCUUUUUGCACUGUGAUCCUACUAGCAUGUAGAUAAGAUAUACCUACUAUUAUGGUCUGUUAAUUAUGUUUUUAUUUGAAUUCCUUGCUGUUGACUUUAUUGUGGUUUUAUGUGGGUAUGAUUUAUUUAUCGGUGCCUUUGUUAAUCGUAUAGAUUGUUCGGAGUGCGAAGCAGAUCGGAAUUAAUCGUUAGAGUACUUCAACACCGUUCAAGGAAAGUUUGCACUUUUGAUUUUGCUCAUCCUAUAUUCUGCUAUGCAUGUGUGGUUUUAUGCUAUGGUAAACGUUUGGCCUGAUAUGUGUAUCUCGUGUUGUCAUGUUUGGUAUUAAUUGUGUUAUGUGAUGGUGUGAUCAACUUGCUAUGGUAGACGUGGGCAUGUGUCAAGUGAUCAUGAAAGUGGUGAGUGUUUAUGAGGGUGUUUGUUUCCAGGGACUUAUUGGUUUAGGGACUUGAACAAGUCCUUAUAAGUCCCAUCUAAACCAAAUAGGAGGGACUUAUAGGGACUUAAAGUGGGCAUUUGGGACUUAUGCAAUAAGACUCUCAAGGAGAGUCUUAUAGGGACUUAUAGUUGUAAUAUGGUCUUAUAGGGACUUAUAAGUCCCAGGAACCAAACAGGUAGGGACUUUUUAGGGACUUGAGACUUAUAAGUUGGGACUAAAAAAGUCCUAGGACUUAUGAACCAAAGAGGGCCUAUAGCCGUAGGCUCGGGAUUAUUAACCAAGUGAAUGCGUCACUGGCAGAGCGCUCUAUUGUCCCUAGAGAAUGCGCCAUUGACAGAGCGCACUUGAGGCAAGGUAUAAUGUUUGAAACUUAAAUCAGGUGAAUGCGUCCUUGGCGGAGUGCUCUAUUAUUCCUAGAGAAUGUGCCACUGAUAGAGCGCACUUGAGACAAUUCUGAAGUUCUUGUCAUGUUUACUUAGAAUCUUUGGGGUUAUCUUGGGCGAGUAAGUUAGAGGCGGUUGUAAGUUCAGUUAGUGGAGGGAGGUAGCUGAAGACAUUCUUCUCAAAACUAUCUCGUGUGUUUUGUUUGUCAUACUUUACUUGUGGAUGUGCUAUAUCAUUAUGUGUGAAUUGCCAAUACAUUCAAUGUAUUGACCCUUGUGGUUGCAACUUAUCAUGUUACAAGAUUUUCAGAUGAUCAGUGAGAAGGGUUGUGAGUCUUCACUCAGCAUUUCGCCAGUGGGCCUUGAUGGGAUUCAUUGUUUGCUUAUGCUACAUUUCCGCUGUUAUUAUUAAGUAAAGCUAGUUAUGUACUAUGAGUUUGUAAUACUUUAUGAAUUAUGGAUCAUAGGUUAUAGUAAA